rnacentral:rRNA from 1 species
CGGGCGAUGUGUACAUAUUAAUGGUAGUUUUCAAAUAAACAUUAUGAUUAAAUUUUACUAACAAAUUCUAUUUUUAAAUAUAUUUCAAUAUUUAUGGAAUUUAAUAUAAAUGUAAUUCAUUUCAUCUUAAUUAAAUUGCACCUUGACCUGAUAUUUUAAAAAGUUUUAUUUGGUAAUUAAUUUUUAAUAAUUACUUUAUACGGUGGUAUACAAAUAUAAAUUAAGUAAGGUUUAUCGUGUAUUUUCGAUUUAGAAACAAAUUCCUUUGUAAAAGUUAAUACCGUCAAAUUUAUUAUAUUUUAUUUUUUUGAAAUAUUAUAUAAUAAUAGAAUAAUAGGGUAUCUA